UUGGGCUAAACUGCGAUUUUCCGAUAUCAGUGAUUUCUGUGAAUGCUACUUUUCAGUAUCUGUUAUUCUUAACUGUGAUUUGUCGCAGUUAAGAGUCGCAGUUAAGGAACCUAAGUCGCGUAUCCCUCCGCCACUGCUAUUUCUGCUACUUCCGCGAUUUCUGCGACUUCUGCGAUUUCUGCUACUUCUGCGAUUUCUGUGACUUCUGCUACUUCUGCGAUUUCUGUGACUCCUGCGAUUUCUGCGACGUACCACCGUAUGAAAAAGUUACAUCUGUCCACACAGAAAAUUGCAUCUCAACAAAUCUGUCAUUGGUACCUGAACUACAUUUCAGUCACUCAGUAAAGUGAUAAUUCAAAAUAUCAUUGUCAACAGAGCUGAAGAAAUUGUCAGUCUUUAGACCGUUUUCGUCAGACGAGAGACGCAGUUCUGACUGAUUACUGUUUGCUGUACAUAUCUAUCCACAUCAAGGCUGUUGAGAGAGACUCGUGAAGAUUCAAGGCAGCUCUUAGAGGAUUUGGAGUUUAAAAGUGAAAUAAUUAUGAAAUAAGUGUGUGACUGAUUAAAGUGUUUUAUUGAAGUUGUUGUGCGAUU